rnacentral:lncRNA from 1 species
GGAAAUAUAAAUGCAAGUAAAACAGGUUAGAACUUCUUAACUUCCAGAAGAUAGGAGGAUGGGACCUGUGAUACUGUGCUGCUGGUGGGAGGACCCUUCCACAUCAACAUUUGUGUGUAUCCUUGCAAUAAACUUCCAUUGUGAAUUAUCUGUGCUUCCUGUCCUUCCAUGUCACACAAUAGUAAUUGCUAAAGAAGAGCUAGGAGCAUAGAUCUGUCUGAUUCUAAAGCCUUUGCUCUUUGAACUUUGAGAGCUUCUAUCUGUACUUAACCUGCCUCUAGGCAUGAAAAAACAAAUGUCCCUCAGUCUGACCGAUCUCUUAAUCCCUUUCUUAAAAUUUCAAUCUCUUGUCCUUGUUCUUUCCUGUUUAUAAAUAUGUUCAGUGUUCAGGAGAAAAACGUUAUUCCUACCACUUUACCUUCCAUAAUCUGGUCUUCCUCAGGUUUUACCAUAAAGUGAUAGCCAUUGGCAUAAUGGGAGCAAUGUGAUGUUCCAAGCACAACACUAAAGAAUAAAUGUUGACAAGCUUUAUCAUGUUAUCAUAAAUGUAAACGUUGGAGAUACUAUCUUGGCCAUUAUCAUCACCUCAAAUUGCUCCAUCUUCAAAAUACUUGCAUCUUAUUUAUUGACCAUAUUCCUUCCACUUGGUUUAUUGAACUAUUCCCUCUAUCAUUCUCUGAUUUCGCUGCAGCCAAUGCCUCUGCUUUCCAUUAGUCCCUUCCUUCUUUAGAUUCCUGUAUAGCUUAAACUAGUGGUUUUCGUGCAAUAGGCUGAAUUUCCUUGCCUUUCAUCUCUUUUUGAACACUUAAAUAAAGUGAUACUUGUCUGUACCUGCAUUUGGACAGCUAAAUGCCACCCAAGGAAACAACUGUGGAGCAGAUUUAUAUCACUAUGAAUCCAUGGUUAUCAGCUUCAAAUGUCAUCUCAGCCCCAUAGUCCUACUAGAUUUUUCUAGUCAUUUUAACUUUUCCCUGCAAUGACUAUUUCAAACCAACAUUCUUAAAUCUCUUAUCACUCCCCCACACCAUUAUCUUCACUUUAUGCAAGU